rnacentral:miRNA from 1 species
AUAUCACAGUACCACUGAUGAUAUUGAUAGUACUGAUGAUAUUGAUACCAUCAACAUCAUCAGUACCAUCAAUAUCAACAGUACCAUUA